rnacentral:rRNA from 1 species
ACGGAGGAUGCAAGCGUUAUCCGGAAUGAUUGGGCGUAAAGCGUCUGUAGGUGGUUCAGUAAGUCUCCUGUUAAAGAUCAGGGCUUAACCCUGAGUCGGCAGUAGAAACUACUGAGCUUGAGUACGGUAGGGGCAGAGGGAAUUCCCGGUGUAGCGGUGAAAUGCGUAGAGAUCGGGAAGAACACCAAUGGCGAAAGCACUCUGCUGGGCCGAAACUGACACUCAGAGACGAAAGCUAGGGGAGCGAAUGGGAUUAGAUACCCCAGUAGUCCUAGCCGUAAACGAUGGAUACUAAGUGCUGUGCGACUCAAAACGGACAGUACUGUAGCUAACGCGUGAAGUAUCCCGCCUGGGGAGUAUGCUCGCAAGAGUG